GAUUAAGAACGUAGCGAAAUGCGAUACGUAAUGUGAAUUGCAAAUUCAGUGAAUCAUCGAGUCUUUGAACGCACAUUGCGCCCCCUGGUAUUCCGGGGGGCAUGCCUGUCCGAGCGUCAUUGCUGCCCUCAAGCACGGCUUGUGUGUUGGGCCCCGUCCUCCGAUCCCGGGGGACGGGCCCGAAAGGCAGCGGCGGCACCGCGUCCGGUCCUCGAGCGUAUGGGGCUUUGUCACCCGCUCUGUAGGCCCGGCCGGCGCUUGCCGAUCAACCCAAAUUUUUUAUCCAGGUUGACCUCGGAUCAGGUAGGGAUACCCGCUGAACUUAAGCAUAUCAAUAAGCGGAGGA
rnacentral:misc_RNA from 1 species